rnacentral:tRNA from 1 species
AGCAACUGUAUCGUAAACAGUAGGUCGUCGGUUCGAUUCCGACCAUCGGCU